CUUAAUGCAGAUAGUGAAAAAAACUAAACAAAAUAAAACAAAAAACUAAAAUUUACAGUAGAUAUGUUCAGUCUCCAAAAUCCCUGUGUGAAAAAUGAUAAAGAAGAAAAACUAGAGAACACUAAGGACAAAAACUCAAUUGGCUUUGCCUUUGGUUAUACCCUAAUCAGGUCUCAAAAAGGUUUAGCUCACAUAUACCCCACCUCCUAUAGACUGUAAG